CCGAGGUCCGAUACGAUCACCGAAGUUAAGCAACAUCCACCCAGGUCAGUACUUAGAUGGGUGACCGCUUGGGAAAUACCAGGUGCUGUAAG
rnacentral:rRNA from 1 species